rnacentral:rRNA from 1 species
GAUGAACGCUGGCGGCGUGCCUAAUACAUGCAAGUCGAGCGAACGGACGAGAAGCUUGCUUCUCUGAUGUUAGCGGCGGACGGGUGAGUAACACGUGGAUAACCUACCUAUAAGACUGGGAUAACUUCGGGAAACCGUAGCUAAUACCGGAUAAUAUUUUGAACCGCAUGGUUCAAAAGUGAAAGACGGUCUUGCUGUCACUUAUAGAUGGAUCCGCGCUGCAUUAGCUAGUUGGUAAGGUAACGGCUUACCAAGGCAACGAUGCAUAGCCGACCUGAGAGGGGGGUGGCCCACAGUGGAAAGGAACCAGGGUCGAGACAACAGGGGGGGGAGGGAGAGGGAAAUCUUCCGAAAAGGGCGAAGGCCGGAGGGGACGGCGCGGGGGGGGAAAUGAGGGUCUUCGGAUGGUAAAACUGUUUUAUAGGGGAGGACAAAAAGUAUAAAUAACUGUGCAAUUAUUGACGGUACCAAACAAAAAAGCCACGGCUAACUCCGUG